rnacentral:lncRNA from 1 species
CUGUAACUGGAUUGCUGAUGGUUGUGUGAAGAGACCUUUGUACAUUGUUAACAUGUUUGGAGAAGAACUGGCCAUAUUCAUUUCGGAACACAUGCUCACUUGCUGCCACUCAUUCUCAAGUUUCAAAUCUUCAUUCAGAAGUUCAUCUGAUUUAUCAAUUUUCUUAUAGUUCACUUCUGGAUUUUUCUGUAGUUCAGAAUCUGAGUUUUC